ACAAAAUGCUUCCAAAUGUCAAUUUAUAUUAAGCUCGCCCCAUUCCUCUAUCAUUUGUCGCGUGCCGCAAGCACUCAUAUGAACAAUGCUUUUCAUUGAGUGCUUGUGGCGCAUGAUAAAUGACAGAGGAAUGGGGCAAGCUUAAUAUAAAUUGACAUGAUUGACAUU
rnacentral:miRNA from 1 species